UAGAAAGACUGAAAGAGAGUAAUAGGGGCAGACCCAAAUUGUAAAAUGCCACCUCAGUCCCCACCCCCUAAACCCCAAAACUUCACCUUCUUCCACGGCCACCGCAAGCCCUCACAGAACCGCCCUACAGUCCGCGGCGGCCUCUUCUCCAACCGCGUCUCCCUCCCAAACCACAGAUACCCCACCGCCGCCCCCCAACCUCAGCCCUUCGAACUCUCCAAAUGGGAUCCACACCUCCCCCAAUCCUCGCCGUCCACUUCAUCAUCCAACCCUGCCGACACGACACUCCUCUCAUUUCUCUCCCCUAUCGCGCGCUUCAUUCUCGACGCGUUCCGCAAGAACCGGAACCACUGGGGCCCACCAGUCGUCUCGGAGCUCCGAAAGCUCCGCCGGGUUACGCCCGACCUCGUCGCCGAGGUGCUCAAGGUCCAAAACGACCCCGUCUCCGCUUCCAAGUUCUUCCACUGGGCAGGUAAGCAAAAGGGUUUCAAGCACACUUAUGCUUCCUACAAUGCCUUGGCCUAUUGUCUGAACAGGUCCAACCGGUUCCGGUCCGCGGACCAAGUCCCAGAGUUGAUGGACUCGCAGGGCAAACCGCCCAGCGAGAAACAGUUUGAGAUUCUCAUCAGAAUGCACUCCGAUGCCAAUAGAGGUCUUAGGGUAUAUUACGUGUAUGAAAAAAUGAAGAAAUUUGGGGUUAAACCCAGGGUUUUCUUGUACAAUAGGAUCAUGGAUGCGUUAGUGAAGUCGGGUUAUUUGGAUUUGGCAUUAUCGGUUUACGAAGACUUUAGGGGUGAUGGGUUGGUCGAGGAGAGUGUUACUUUUAUGAUCUUGAUAAAGGGUCUUUGUAAAAUGGGAAGAAUGGAUGAAAUGUUGCAGCUUUUGGAGAGGAUGAGGGUGAAUUUGUGUAAACCUGACGUGUUUGCAUGCACGGCAAUGGUUAAGGUUUUGAUUUCAGAGGGGAACAUGGACGGCUGUUUGAGGGUUUGGGAGGAAAUGAAGAGAGAUAGGGUAGGGGCAGACGUUAUGGCAUAUGCAACUCUGGUUACGGGUCUGUGUAAGGGAGGGAGGGUGGAGAAAGGAUACGAGUUGUUUAGGGAGAUGAAGGUUAAGGGUUUCCUGAUUGAUAGAGCUAUUUACGGGGUGCUGAUUGAGGGGUUCGUGGCAGACAGGAAGGUUGGAGCGGCAUGUGAUUUGUUGAAGGAUUUGAUGGAUUCAGGGUAUAGGGCAGAUUUGGGGAUAUAUAAUUCUCUUAUUGAGGGUUUAUGUAAUGCGAAGCGGGUUGACAAAGCUUAUAAGAUUUUCCGAGUUACAGUUCAAGAGGGUCUUCAGCCAGAUUUUGCUACGGUGAAUCCCAUUUUGGUGUCUUAUGCUGAGAUGAAAAGAAUGGAUAACUUUUGCGAUAUGCUUGAAGAGAUGGAGAAAUUUGAUUUUCCUGUUAUUGAUGAUCUUUCAAAAUUCUUUUCCUUUAUGGUAGGAAAGGAGGAUGGAGUACCGUUAGCUUUGGAAGUGUUUGGGGAGUUGAAAGUUAAAGGUUAUUAUAGUGUUGGAAUCUACAAUAUCCUUAUGGGAUCCCUCCACAAAUCUGGGAAAGUGAAGAAAGCAUUGUCUCUCUUUAAUGAAAUGAAGGAUGUGGAUUUGCAGCCCGAUGCGUCUACUUAUAGCAUUGCAAUUAUGUGUUUUGUUGAAGAUGAGGACAUCCAUGAGGCUUGUGCCUCUCAUAAUAAGAUAAUUGAGAUGUCUUGUGUUCCUUCUAUCUCUGCUUAUUGUUCUCUUGCAAGAGGUCUUUGCAAAGUUGGCGAGAUUGAUACAGUUAUGCUGCUUGUUCGUGACUGCUUAGCCAGUGUGACAAGUGGGCCCAUGGAAUUCAAGUAUUCUCUUACCAUUCUCCAUGCAUGUAAAUCUAAUAAUGCUGAGAAGGUGAUUGAAGUACUAAACGAGAUGAUGCAGCAGGGUUGUCCUCCGGAUGAUGUUAUAUACUCUGCUAUAAUCUCUGGCAUGUGUAAGCAUGGAACAAUAGAGGAGGCAAGGAAGAUAUUUUCUAAUUUGAAAGAGCGCAAACUUUUAACAGAAGCCAACAUGAUUGUGUAUGAUGAAGUAUUAAUUGAACACAUGAAGAAGAAGACGGCAGAUCUGGUGGUGUCAGGGUUGAAGUUUUUUGGUUUAGAAUCCAAGUUGAAAGCAAAGGGUUGUAAACUGCUGUCGGGAUGAAUUAUGAAGCCAGUCUUCAGAGUGGCAGAUGGUGCACCUUUCCAGGGUAGUGUUAUGAGGCUUCAUAUCAGAGGGCAUCAUGAGUGAUGUUUGUUUUUUCAGCGUCUCAUAACUUCUCCAACAGAUUGUGCUUUAGCUCGGCAUAUUUUGGAAAAGAAUCAAGAAUAUUUUGUUUAUCGCCCCUGAUUCUUGAUGUAUGUGGAGAAGAAAACGUAGUUCAGAACUUCCAUUCUAGUGUACAGGUCUAAGCUGUUUACAUGGUUAUCUGUCUUCCAGUAACCAAGUCUAUCAAUCAAAUUAUUGUUGUUCUUGUAAUAAAGUCUAUGAGGGUUGAUAUUCCAUUGAUAGCAGGGGGAGAUAUUUUUCUCAAGGCAAACUCCAAGUUCCCAUUUCAAUGACAGUGAUGGGCUGAACAUGCAGGAGUUGAUGUUUCCUAAGUUUUUUUGCAAUAGGUCAAAGAUGACAGAUCUGAAAUGUUCAUAAUUUGUGAGAGAAAUUGAGUCUGCAAUGCAUGUAAUCCGCAAUGUUCAAGGUGACUUUUGGGUUUUGGCAUAGCAGAUUUAUUUCAUGAACCUUUUCUA